CGGAGGGAUCAUUACUGAGUUUACGCUCUACAACCCUUUGUGAACAUACCUAUAACUGUUGCUUCGGCGGGUAGGGUCUCCGUGACCCUCCCGGCCUCCCGCCCCCGGGCGGGUCGGCGCCCGCCGGAGGAUAACCAAACUCUGAUUUAACGACGUUUCUUCUGAGUGGUACAAGCAAAUAAUCAAAACUUUUAACAACGGAUCUCUUGGUUCUGGCAUCGAUGAAGAACGCAGCGAAAUGCGAUAAGUAAUGUGAAUUGCAGAAUUCAGUGAAUCAUCGAAUCUUUGAACGCACAUUGCGCCCGCCAGCAUUCUGGCGGGCAUGCCUGUUCGAGCGUCAUUUCAACCCUCAAGCUCUGCUUGGUGUUGGGGCCCUACAGCUGAUGUAGGCCCUCAAAGGUAGUGGCGGACCCUCUCGGAGCCUCCUUUGCGUAGUAACUUUACGUCUCGCACUGGGAUCCGGAGGGACUCUUGCCGUAAAACCCCCAAUUUUCCAAAGGUUGACCUCGGAUCAGGUAGGAAUACCCGCUGAACUUAAGCAUAU
rnacentral:rRNA from 1 species